GGGGGGGUGGCUCAGUGGUAGAGCGCUUGCCUAGCAUGCCUGAGGCCCUGGGUUUGAUUCCCCAGCGCCACAA
rnacentral:tRNA from 1 species